rnacentral:rRNA from 1 species
UACGUAGGGGGCUAGCGUUGUCCGGAAUCAUUGGGCGUAAAGAGCGUGUAGGCGGUCCGGUAAGUCCGCUGUGAAAGUCGGGGGGCUCAACCCUCGAAUGCCGGUGGAUACUGUCGGGCUAGAGUGCGGAAGAGGCGAGUGGAAUUCCUGGUGUAGCGGUGAAAUGCGCAGAUAUCAGGAGGAACACCUAUUGCGAAGGCAGCUCGCUGGGACGUUACUGACGCUGAGACGCGAAAGCGUGGGGAGCAAACAGG